UUAACAACAGAUGAGCUUUCUCCACCAUCUCUUCCCAGUUCUUAGCCUGCAAAGGAAAAGAAUCCUAGUCUUGGAAGAUGAGAGUGCCAAAAGAUGAAGACAGGGGUCUGUGUUCCCACUGGCCACUGAGCCUUUGUGGGGUCUACUGGAUAUUCUAGAAGCUCAAACAGUUUUGUAGAAGAAAGAUGGUUGUGACGUUAGGGAAGAACUGUAGCAACAAUAAGCUAAAAGGUCUUUGAUUUAUCCACCUGUGAUAUUUUAUCUGAGGCGGAGUUGCAUUGUCUUCACAUUGCAUAGUGUCAGGAACUUCACAGGAGGUCAUUAGGACACACAGAGAGACAACCAAGGAUGUGCUCCACAGAGGAAAAACAAUGUGAGGACACAGCAAGAAGAUGGCCAUCUGCAAACCAAGAAGGGAAGCUUCAGGAGAAACCAGUCUAGCCAAUACUUUGAUCUUGGACUUGUAACCUCCAGAAC